AACCUGCAAAAUCAGGGUUGCUUGAUUAACUCUAUUGUGAUUCUUUUACCUUACUAUAUAUUCAACAAACCAUACCAGUGACUGAUGAGUUGGUGGUAUCCGGAAUCAUUCACUGCAACAUAGGCUUUAGCUAGUUGCCAAAUUGAGCCCUCAACUCCAGCUUCUGCUGGAGUGAAUACCUUGCUGACCCCACCGUGGCGAUUCCCCUGUGGAUGAGGGAGGCUUAGUUCAAUAGCCAAUGGCUUCAGUGUUCCAUCAUCUUGAAGAAAGAGAAUUGUUCUGGUGGCAUACGUCUUUGUAGUGGUUGAGUUUAUUUUCCUCAAGUAUAGCAUCAAUGCAUCAUGAUGAUCCAAUAUAAACAGUCUAUUUCUUGCAAUUGCCUGUGACAGAGAAGAGACAACUUUUGAUUAGGAAACUUUGUUAAAAGUUGACCUCAUAUUUGAAUAUGAAUAAAUAAAAAACCUAAGCAUGAUUGACAUACUUCAUCAACAGUGAGACCAUCCAUAUUAAGCUCUAUCUCCUCCUUCUUUAUAGUACUAUGCUGGUUUCCGUAUUCUUUAGGGUCUAGCUGGCUGGCUGGUGGAAACUCCUGCAGAACACAAAUAUCAUGUAAAAAAUCAGUCCAAUUUGGCAAUUUGAUUGCAGAGCAUAAAUGAGUUGUUAGUAGUUCGGAUUUGUACUCUCAGGCGACUGAUGAUGACAGGAUUGACUCCAGCGAGCAUCUCUCGAGCAAACUCUUCAUCAGUCCUCCAAGCAGACUUAUCCUCUGGAACCAUACCAUGGUAACCUCAGACUUAACAUCUCUACUGUAGAAUUAUAUGCAUUAUUGUAAGCUAUUGAUGCUGUAUCUAAAAUAUAGAAUUUCCUUUGCAUACCUUUGAUUACAUCAGGCGUAGGGAACUUGAGAAAUCUCUCACCAUCGUUGCGAACAAGUUCUUUCAGCAGUUCCCAUGGUAUGUUAUUUCUUAUCUUGCUGAUCUUGGCUUUACUUGGCAAUUUGAUGCCCCCUUCGUAGAGGUUGAAAACAUCCUCGAAAGAGUCAAACUCAUUGAUUGUCUUGUCAAAUAAAGAGUAUAUCUCCGGGACAAGUACUUGGACGAUGGACUUAAGACCAUAUGCCAGAAAGUCUGAGAACUUCACAUGUCCAAACCGUUCAUCCCUUGGCACAUAGAUAUCUAGGCUCAGAAGAGGCAAUCUGCUCUCUGAAUUGGGAUCUGUUGUGAACAUGAAAAAGAAACUGUCGUCAAAUUUCUGUUUCACUUAUUGUAUAUCAAGGUGUCCAGUACUAGAACAUAGAUGUGUCACCUUUAUUGGUUGGCUUUCGGCCUGUUCUUCCUCUUCUGGGAUAUGGAUAGUCCUUGGAUCCACCAAUAACUGGGCGUGCAUAUGCUUCCCCCUUAUCAGGACUUCCCAAAUCAUUGUAGUAAGCAUAGUCAUAAACUCUAUCCCACUCCUUGAGCUCCCCUUUCCCGUCACCUCGGAGAUUGACAAGCUCUUCUUCUCUGUACUUUCGCAAUGGCUCUGGUGUUUGACAUGGUAGGUAGGUCUGAACAGAAGCAUGACAGAAGUUGUUUAGAUAAAAAUCUGAUCUUUUUUCUUUUCUUUUAUCAGAGUUUGAUGCUUAGAGUAAGAUUAACUCCACUCAUAUUAUUCUAACUCCAUAUUAUUCUAAAGUUAGCCGAUACCCCAAAAGUAGGAUUGAGACAGCCAAUUGAAAAAUAAAAGUCGGGAAGGAAUCAUGAUGCAAUCAAUGAUAAAAAAAUAAGUUGGAAAAAUGUUGCUGAUUUGGGAGUUCAUCGUCUAGAGUUCCAUUUCCUAUUCGUAAUGCAAAGCUGGUAUGCAUGCCCUUGCCUCAGUAGGAAAAAAAUUAUUACCUUGUUUGAGAAGAAAACGCGGUGAUAUUUGUAUCUAUGCACAGGAUAAACCCAUGAGUUGCAGACGAAAUGGACGCGGCCAUGUCCAGGGACGUGUUCCAACGUGAGCGUCUUGAGGUAAAACUGACUGUGGUGAUGGUUUCUAAUAAUGAAAGCGCCAGGAACGCCCAUAGUGGUGUGUUCCCAGUCGAAGGUAAUGGCGAAAGCAGUAUCUGUAGCUGUUACAGGUGUGAUCUUCUGAGUCCAUUUCUCCAAGAAUGCUGCUUUCCCAAUCUUCCCUCCCAGCCCAUUCGCUGAACACGUAAGUAGAGAGGGCAGGAAGUUUCCCACUGUCAGCUUACAUAACAAAGAAAAAGGCAAUAGCUUUCUUUGUUUUCAUUGAAGAAAGUUCCUUUCUUUUUUCUUUUGCAGUGCAAGUCAUUUAUUGGGCAUUGAUGAAAACAGAGAGAAAGAGAGGAAAAAGAGUUGACCUGGGUCUGGAAGGGAGCUAAUGAGGUGAAGAGAGACGCCUUUGCCGAGAAGCUCGUGAAUUCGAUCAAGAAAGGAAGCCUUGGCGUCGUUCAAAUCCAAGACGUUCUUUCUCAUCAACACUAGAGUUGCGUGGAUCUUCUUGUCGGAUUCCGGUGCUGCGCCUUUGGGAGUGGUUUUGGGGAGCAGGCAGCAGCUUCCCAUCUUCUUCUUUCGUGG
rnacentral:lncRNA from 1 species